rnacentral:rRNA from 1 species
AUGGCGACAGCGGCAGCCGGCGGCGGGAGGGGCAAGCCGAAGGGGAGCAAGUCGGUGUCGCGGUCGGUGAAGGCGGGCCUGCAGUUCCCGGUGGGCCGCGUCGCCCGGCACCUCAAGGUCGGGCGCUACGCGAAGCGCGUGGGCGCGGGCGCGCCCGUCUACCUCUGCGCCGUCCUCGAGUACCUCGCCGCCGAGGCCCUGGAGCUGGCCGGCAACGCGGCGCGCGACAACAAGAAGACCCGGAUCUCGCCGCGCCACAUCCAGCUCGCCGUCCGCAACGACGAGGAGCUCAGCCGGCUGCUCGGCGGCGUCACCAUCGCCGCCGGCGGCGUCCUGCCCAACAUCCACUCCGUGCUCCUCCCCAAGAAGGCCGGCAAGGGCGCCGGCACCGGCGGGUCCGCCUCCCAGUCCCAGGAGUUCUAG